CCAUUUUUCAUGAGCUGAACUCAAAGAUCUAAAACUUUUUCUAUGUACACAAAAGGCCUAUUUCUCUCAAAUAUUGUUCACAAAUCUAAAUCUGUGUUAGUGAGCACUUCUCCUUUGCAGAGAUAAUCCAUCCACCUCACAGAUGUGGCGUAUCAAGAUGCUGAUUAGACAGCAUGAUUAUUGCACAGGUGUGCCUUAGGCUGGCCACAAUAAAAGGCCACUCUAAAAUGUGCAGUUUUAUCACACAGCACAAUGCCACAGAUUUCGCAAGUUUUGCGGGAGCGUGCAAUUGGCAUGAUGACUGCAGGAAUGUCCACCAGAGCUGUUGCCCGUGAAUUGAAUGUUCAUUUCUCUACCAUAAGCCGUCUCCAAAGGCGUUUCAGAGAAUUUGGCAGUACAUCCAACCGUCCUCACAACUGCAGACCAUGUGUAACUACACCAGAACAGGACCUCCACAUCCAGCAUCUUCACCUCCAAGAUCAUCUGAGACCAGCCACCCAGACAGCUGCUGCAACAAUUGGUUUGCAUAACCAAAGAAUUUCUGCACAAACUGUCAGAAACCGUCUCGGGAAGCUCAUCUGCAUGCUUGUCGUCCUCAUCGGGGUCUCGACCUGACUGCAGUUUGUCGUCGUAACCGACUUGAGUGGGCAAAUGCUCACAUUCAAUGGCGUCUGGCACUUUGGAAAGGUGUUCUCUUCACGGUUGAAUUCCGGUUUUCACUGUACAGGACAGAUGGCAGACAGUGGUAUAGCGUCGUGUGGGUGAGCGGAUUGUGGAUGUCACCAUUUCUCUCAAAUAUUUCUUCUUGACUGCUGUUUACAACCAACACAGAUAUCAAUGAUGGAAGGUUCACAUCAGGUGUUCUCUGAUGUAACUUCAUAAUUGGCGUGUACAGGUUCUCAGUGUGUGUUUUGUCAACAAAAGGAACUUGCAACUAAGUCUCAUCUUUACACAAGACAUCUCAAAGUUACAGUUUACUUUUCUGAAAACAAUCAAGAAAAAAAUGUGGUGGCCUGCUUGUGCAAAGACCGCAAACAGCAGACAGCAGUGCCUCUACUUGCUGAGGAAAGCCCAUCUCCCUCCCCCAUCCUGACUGUGUUCUACAGAGGGACCAUUGAGAGCGUCCUGAGCAGCUGCAUCACUGCCUGGUUUGGGAACUGCACCGUCUCGGAUCACAAGACCCUUCAGGGGAUAGUGAGGACAGCUGAGAAGAUCAUCGGAGUCUCUCUCCCCUCUAUUAUGGACAUUUACACUGCAUGCUGCAUCCGAAAAAAAAGCCAACAGCAUUGUGGCUGACCUCACACACCCCUCACACACACUCUUCACCCUCCUGCCUGGAAAGAGGUACCGGAGCAUUCGGGCCUCACAACCAGACCGUUGAACAGUUUCUUUCCUCAAGCCAUCAGGCUCCUCAACAACCAGGACUGAACUGUACAAAACUCUCUCUCACACACACACACACACACACCCUCUCUCUCUCACCUGUGUGGACACACACACACACACUCAGGACUGAACUGUACAUAACUCUCUGUCUCUCACACUCACACACACACACACAUAACUUAUAUUGUUCGAUACUUAUUGCACUACCUCACCCCCUGUGUUGUUCAUCUGCUGCUAUAUUUAUAUUUAUGUUUAUUUCUAUUUUGCACUACCUCAACUGCUGCUAUAUUGUAUUUUUUUCACAAUACAUGUUGUCAGGCCCCAAAGUUCAUCAUCUGAUUUUAUUACAUUUCAUUUACAUUUCAUUGCACAUUCUUUUUCUUUUUUUUUU